CCUAGAUAUCGAUAUUCAACAUGGCGGUGAAUUUCCCACCGCUUCCCCAGGUUGCUGGGGCACACAGUUCUACUUAUGAAGCAUAUUUUCAACAGGCUGACAGUAAUGGAACUGGUGCUGUUGGUGCCAUGGAAGCAGCUAAUUUUAUGAAGAAGUCUGGACUUAAAGAAAAAACACUC